rnacentral:rRNA from 1 species
GCGCACGCUGGCGGCAGGCUUAACACCUGCAAGUCGCACGGGCAUCUUCGGAUGUCAGUGGCAGACGGGUGAGUAACACGUGGGAACGUACCCUUCGGUUCGGAAUAACUCAGGGAAACUUGAGCUAAUACCGGAUACGCCCUUUUGGGGAAAGGUUUACUGCCGAAGGAUCGGCCCGCGUCUGAUUAGCUUGUUGGUGGGGUAACGGCCUACCAAGGCGACGAUCAGUAGCUGGUCUGAGAGGAUGAUCAGCCACACUGGGACUGAGACACGGCCCAGACUCCUACGGGAGGCAGCAGUGGGGAAUAUUGGACAAUGGGCGCAAGCCUGAUCCAGCCAUGCCGCGUGAGUGAUGAAGGCCUUAGGGUUGUAAAGCUCUUUUGUCCGGGACGAUAAUGACGGUACCGGAAGAAUAAGCCCCGGCUAACUUCGUG